AGUGAGACUGACUGCGUCGGGGUUGAGACUGGGUGGAUGAGGCUCACCCCGGCGGGGAGAAGGGACGAGGAGGGGCGGACAGCGGAAGGUCCGGGAGUGUCCGCCAUAAAGUCGUUUGAGCUGAGUCAUUGAAAGCAGCCAGCUACAAACAGACACAUUCCAGGCAGUGGAGAAAGAGGAGAAAAAUGCCCCCUAACUUCUCAUCAGAAAAACAAAGGCCUAAUGAAAAUGGAAAGUUGUCUUUAAAGUGCUGAAGGGGGAAAAAAAACCUUCAUGCUAAAUAUGCUUCACGUAUGAGGAUGAACUCAAGUUUUAACUUCUAGUCAUGGCGAAUGAUCGCAGGAGAGCACAGACUGGACCCUGCUACGAUCUCUCUUGGAGUGGAUCAGACUGAUGAUCACCAACAACCAACUCAUUCCCGGAUAAGGAAGAAGAGAGUGUCACCUACUUCAGUGUGGUUUCAACCCUACUUCUG
rnacentral:lncRNA from 10 species